rnacentral:lncRNA from 1 species
UCAAUAUUCAGACAAAUCCAGAAAGAGGUUCUGGUUUUUGAAGUCAUCUUCUCCAGAGUGUCAACCCCCACCCACAAAAGGUAGUUUCCAGAAAAGGAAGUGAAAGAUAGAUGGGGGACAAAACAUCUCUGAAGUCAGCACUCUGACUGGUAACACGUGAAAUUUUGCAAAUACACAGAUCUAUGUUCCAGAGCNUUUUUUUUUUUUUUUUUUUUUUUUGCUCUGCUCCUGAAGUUUCAUCCUGCUCCUUGGAAAUAACUUCUGGAAAGUGAAGUUUUGCCAAGCUUGAAAUCAGGCCCUUUUCUUCACUCAGGGCAGAGGCCUGAGACGGAGAAAGGAGUGCUGGCCCCGCAGCGAGCUGAGAGCUGACGGUGGCUACAACAGGGCUUCCCCGGCCGAACCGGAACCGGGCGUCCAGAGCCUGGGAGCCGGACCAGCCACUGAAACGAUGAAAACACGGAGGGGAAGAGGCCGUUUCUGCAGUUUCCCAACUGCGCCGGUCCUGGGAGCGGCCUCCCGUAACGAGCAGCAGCCCUGGCCCGGCCUGAAAGGCGAACAUGCCCAGCGUCUGGCCUCCGCCGCGCAGCCCCAGCUCCCUGCCUGACACACACAUGGUCGCGCCCCACCGACGAUUUGAAAGGUCGCAUUUUGCCCCUGUUACAACUCCCCCUCUUCUCAUUAAAAAAAAAAAGAAAUAAUAAAAUACAAACUCGC